CCUGCGAAGGCAAGCGGAUCUCUUAAAGCUGUUCUCAGUUCGGACUGCAGUCUGCAACUCGACUGCACGAAGCUGGAAUCGCUAGUAAUCGCGGAUCAGCACGCCGCGGUGAAUACGUUCCCGGGCCUUGUACACACCGCCCGUCACACCAUGGAAGUCUGCAAUGCCCGAAGCCGGUGGCCUAACCACUUAUGUGGAAGGAGCCGUCUAAGGCAGGGCAGAUGACUGGGGUGAAGUCGUAACAAGGUAAC
rnacentral:rRNA from 1 species